ACUAGCAGCCAUAUCACCCUGCAACUCACAACUGACAGCCCACUGAAGCUAAGCAGGUGUGAGCCUGGUCAGUACCUGGAUACGAGACCUCCUGGGAAAAACUAAGGUUGCUGCUGGAA
rnacentral:rRNA from 1 species